rnacentral:rRNA from 1 species
GAAUAUUGGACAAUGGGGGGAACCCUGAUCCAGCCAUGCCGCGUGCGUGAAGAAGGCCUUUUGGUUGUAAAGCACUUUAAGCGAGGAGGAGGCUACUUAGAUUAAUACUCUCGGAACGUGGACGUUACUAGCAGACUAAGCACCGGCUAACUCUGUGCGUGCCGCCGAGGUAAUACACAGGGUGCAAGAGUUAAUCGGAUUUACUGGGCGUAAAGCGCGCGUAGGUGGCCAAUUAAGUCAAAUGUGAAAUCCCCGAGCUUAACUUGGGAAUUGCAUUCGAUACUGGUUGGCUAGAGUAUGGGAGAGGAUGGUAGAAUUCCAGGUGUAGCGGUGAAAUGCGUAGAGAUCUGGAGGAAUACCGAUGGCGAAGGCAGCCAUCUGGCCUAAUACUGACACUGAGGUGCGAAAGCAUGGGGAGCAAACA